rnacentral:rRNA from 1 species
AGAGUUUGAUCAUGGCUCAGGAUGAACGCUGGCGGCGUGCUUAACACAUGCAAGUCGAACGAACCUUCGGGUUAGUGGCGGACGGGUGAGUAACGCGUGAGAAUCUGCCCUCAGGAGGGGGAUAACGGUUGGAAACGACCGCUAAUACCCCAUAUGCCUAAUGGUGAAACGAAUUUCGCCUGAGGAUGAGCUCGCGUCUGAUUAGCUAGUUGGUGAGGUAAUGGCUCACCAAGGCUUCGAUCAGUAGCUGGUCUGAGAGGAUGAUCAGCCACACUGGGACUGAGACACGGCCCAGACUCCUACGGGGGGCAGCAGUGGGGAAUUUUCCGCAAUGGGCGAAAGCCUGACGGAGCAACGCCGCGUGAGGGACGAAGGCCUCUGGGCUGUAAACCUCUUUUCUCAAGGAAGAAGAUAUGACGGUACUUGAGGAAUAAGCCACGGCUAAUUCCGUGCCAGCAGCCGCGGUAAUACGGGAGUGGCAAGCGUUAUCCGGAAUUAUUGGGCGUAAAGCGUCCGCAGGCGGCUUUUCAAGUCUGCUGUUAAAACGUGGAGCUUAACUCCAUCAUGGCAGUGGAAACUGAAAGGCUUGAGUAUGGUAGGGGCAGAGGGAAUUCCCGGUGUAGCGGUGAAAUGCGUAGAUAUCGGGAAGAACACCAGUGGCGAAGGCGCUCUGCUGGGCCAUUACUGACGCUCAUGGACGAAAGCCAGGGGAGCGAAAGGGAUUAGAUACCCCUGUAGUCCUGGCCGUAAACGAUGAACACUAGGUGUCGGGGGAAUCGACCCCUUCG